UUCAUGGGUACGGUUACAAAACGGCCCCAUCUAUCUAUAGUGACAGAGUAUUAGCCUAGGUAGUUUAUUUCACCUGAUACAUUGGCCAUCAACUAGUGAAAUUAAGGAUCCAAGAAGAAGAUUAGCAAUGGCUAUAGACGUGCCUCCAGUCGUGCACUGGGAUCUCAAAUCCCCGAACCUGAUGAUAGACAAAAAUUGGAAUGUAAAGGUGUGUGAUUUCGAGUUGUCCAGAUUUAAAGCGAACACUUUCUUGUCAUCAAAAUCUGUUGCUGGAACGGUUGUUGGAUCAUUUGGGACAGUGUAUCGUGCUGAAUGACAUGGAUCAG